GUGAAGUCGUAACAAGGUAACCGUAGGGGAACCUGCGGUUGGAUCACCUCCUUACCUUAAAGAACUGU
rnacentral:rRNA from 1 species